rnacentral:rRNA from 1 species
CCUACGGGCGGCAUCAGUGAGGAAUAUUGCUCAAUGGGCGAGAGCCUGAACCAGCCAAGUCGCGUGAAUGAUGAAGGAUCUAUGGUUUGUAAACUUCUUUUAUAUGGGAAUAAGGUUAGGACCGUGUUCCUUUUUGUAUGUACCAUAUGAAUAAGCAUCGGCUAACUCCGUUCCAUCAGCCGCGGGAAUACGGAGGAUGCGAUCGUUGUCCUGAUUUAUUGGAUUUAAAGUGUGCGUAGGUGGUUAAUUAAGUCAGCGGUGAAAGUUUGUGGCUCAACCAUAAAAUUGCGGUUGAUACCGGUUGACUUGAGUAUAUUUGAGGUAGGCGGAAUGCGUGGUGUAGCGGUGAAAUGCAUAGAUAUCACGAAGAA